AGUAAGCAACAAUACUCCAAUCUGGCUAUGCAUGAAAAUCACUUGGGAUGUUUCUAAAAGUGAGAUUCCUGGAUCUACCCUGAAGGUUCCUGAUAAGGACCAAAGCCACUUCUUAAACAUGAGGCUCAUGUGCAAUGGCACUUGUUGGAGUUGCCAGGUGAAACACAGGGCACCCAGAUAAUUUGAAUUUCUGAUAGACAACGAAAAAUCUCUAAUCCCACCAUUCCAACCAGAGCAGAAGGGCAGCCGUGAAGGAGCCACAAUUCCUGGAUCGGGGUGGGCAAGAGGCUAACCCUUGCCGAGGACCCACCAGACACAGUGGUGCUGCCAGCUGUGUCUGAGAACAGAGAUGGUCCUGACGUUCCCUACCUAAAUGCGUCAUAGGGAAUGUUCACUCAGCCUCAGCCCUACCUGUGCCCGCAUCCAGUCCCCAGCCAGGGCCAGGGAGCAAUGAUGGGACACAGGUGCACUUGCUCUGCCGACAUGGCCCACUCACUACCCCAGGGAGGGGACAGGAAGGGGCAGAGUGGGCAUCACUCCAACUGCUGGGGGUGUAGGAAUUGAGGGGAAGUAUAGGAAGCCAAGAAUCUGACCAGGGAAGGUGGGGAGACAGUGGGAGGUGGGACUCAUGAACUGUGGCUCCAAGCCUCUUGAGUACUGUUCCUUCAGACUUCACAUACAAAACAUAAAUUAAAAGGUAAAAUUGUUAUAUUAGAUUGCUAGGGCUGCUGUAGUGAAGUACCACAGACUGGGUGGCUUAAAACGCAGAAAUUUAUUUCCUCACUUGUUUGGAAGCUAGAAGUCCUACAUCAAGAUGUCCCUUACAGGUUGGUUUCAUCUGAGGCCCUUCUCCUUGGCUUGUAAACAGCCAUCUUGUUUCUCUUCCUUUACCACGUCUUUCCACUGUGUCUGUGUCCUAAUCUCUUCUUUGUACAAGAAAACAAGUCAUAUUGGAUUAAGGCUUACCCCAGUGACCUCAUUCAACCGUGUCUUUAAAGACACCAUGUUCAAAAUCUUUUUUUUUUUUUAACGUUUAUUUAUUUUCGAG